AGGAUAACAUUCAACAAAUGUUUCUCAUCAUGAAUUGUCAGCCAAGUUGUCCUACUUACUGUUGUGUUGAGAUUCUGACUCUUAAAUGAUUGGAGAAUUAGUUUUGAGAGUCAGUAUAGAAAACAUUUUUUUUUUUUUGCAGUUGUUGUUGUUGGCGGUCCACUUUACAAAAAAAUAUAUUUCCCUCUUGUCUACAGAAUAAUUGAUACUGUUGAGAGAGAAGGGAUUUUAUCAAUUUUCUCAAAGAGCUUAUAUGAUGAGCUCAUCUGUGGGAGCAGAAGGUCCAACAGGAUGUUCCUAUGGAAUCAUCCUGUAUCCCUUUCUCUCAAACAGCACCUGAAGCAGAAGAUGCUGCUUUUUAGUGAGAAGCGGACCAUUGAGAUCUGGAAAAUAACAGAGGAGGUGACUGGCUUGGGCUCAUCCAGCAGGGAAAUGGGAGCAUAUAUGAGCGCUGACUUUGUGAUGGAUGUCAUGUAUCCAGAGGUAAGAUGGUCACUUUUUCAAGGUAAUGUUAUGGUCCCCAAGACCCUCAUGCUGCCUCCACU